GCUUUGCAUAUUUAUUUUUUCUCAUAUGAGCAUCAUAUCUUGGAUCAAACGUACACACAUAAUGGACUUCUCAACCAUAUAGACUUAACAAAAACAUAUUACAUGCAACAUCAUCGUAGUCAAUUUCAUUCCACAAUUGACAAUCAAGUAACACACACAUAGAGUAAAACAACUUGAUCAUCGUCUCAGGAUCCAUAUAACACAACAUGUAAAAGUAAGUUAGACAUUGAGUAUAUUUCAUCUAUUUUCAUAACUCCAUCCUUUACGAAAGCAACGAAUCAUGUGUAAUUAACUUCUGUAUAUAACCAUAUUUUUCUCGUUAUAUUUUAAGCUUGAUCAUAUCUUCAUUGAUACUAUGCACCUACAGUAUAAUCCAAUAAAUCGGAAACUGUCAAAGUAUCAAUAAAUGGGGCGCACAAUUAACAUCACAAAGAUGCAUCACCAUGUAUCACAAGCUAUGCAUACAACUUUUCCUACCAUGACUUCAUGUACCAAAUAAUGAAAAGUAACCACAACAAUCUUAUGAUACAUUCAAUAUGUAACAUAAUUGUGAAGCUCCACAUGCCCUACAACCCACGAAUCACCUCAAGUUCUUAUAGCGUUGUGUAACAAAACCUGCACCUCACAAAUGAUAUGUAUUAAAAGUAAAAGGUGUAUGCUCUAAAGUGAAACCUAGAGAAAGAAUAAGUAGAUUAAGCCGCAGUGGUGUGUAUGUCUGAUGUGUGUGAAGGCCUCCUGAAUCCUGACUCACACAUGCUAAGCACAAGUUGGAGGAAUAAUAAUCUCUUCAUUUAAACAAGACACUACUGCGGUGAAGCUAUAAAAAUGUUUGUCGUUAUAUAAAUGCUUUAAUUAAGUAUUUAAGAACAUGAAUUAAUUUCAUUCUUAGUGGGCUGCAGACUGCAAUCGAAGUUAUAAAAAUGAUAUAGCAAGGGAACACUAAUAAAUUUUUUGCUGGGCCAAUUAGCAGACAAAAUCUUAAGUAAUAAGCAAUAAUAAAAAUAAUCAGGCAUGCAGUAUUUAUGUAUAUGAAAAGUUUAGCAAGCUCGGAGGAUAUACUCUAUUACUCAAUAACAGCGAGUUGAGCUUGCAAGCAAUGUGAAUAAGAGGUUAGUCACGGGAUCUUGUAUUACGGAACGAGUAAAGAGACUUGCCGGUAACGAGGUUGAACUAGGUAUGGAGAUGCCGACGAUCGAAAAUCUCGGGCACAUAACAUAUCGAAGGACAAAGGGGACAACACAUGGGAUUGGUUGAAUCCUUGACAUUGAGGUUCAACCGAUGAAAGAUCUUCGUAGAAUAUGUAGGAACUAAUAUGGACAUCCAGGUCCCACUGUUGGUUAUUGACCGGAGAGUGUCUCGGUCAUGUCUGCAUAGUUCUCGAACCCGUAUGGUCUACAUACUUAAGGUUCGGUGACGAUAUAAGCACAGUGUUGGUGACUGAAAGGUUGUUCCGAGUCCAGGGUGAGAUCCCGAACGUGACGAGGAACUCCGGAAUAGUCCGGAGGUGAAGAUUGAUAUAUAGGAUGAAGGUCAUCGGAGUCCGAAAGUGUUCUGAGGCGUACCGAGGGUUUUACGGAGUACCAAAAGGGGUUUCGGGAGGCCCCGACAAUUGUUUGGGGGCCUCAUGGGCCAAGGAGAGGGGGCACCGCAUCCCACCAAGGGGCUGGGCGAAGCCCCUCUCCCCAACCACUUCAGUCAAAGGGGAUGGGCCUCCUUGGGGCGCAGGCCAGCCCAACUGGGGUGGCAAGGCACCCAAGUGGGGGGGCACCCUAACCCUAGCCGCCGCCCCUCCUCCCUUGGUUGCCAGCCCCUAGGGGGUAACCUUAGGGCGCCCUCCCCUCUCUCUUCCUCCUAUAUAUAGACUUCCUCUUAUAUAUAGAGAGGUAGGCACUAGUAGGAAAAACCUUAUAGACAGUCACUUACUAGUAGCGUUGGUUUUUACCACAUGCUACUGGUACUUACUAGUAGCGCUAAUUUUUAUCACUUGCUACUGCUAAGUUGAUAGUAGUAGCGCGCAGUAUAAACCCACGGUACUACUAAGUGGUGUUCACUCUACCCCCGGGGACAAGCCAUACUAGUAGCACGGGUUAUAAAACAAGCGCUACUGCUAAGUUGAUAGUAGUAGCGUGGGUUUUCACCACUCGCUACUACUACUUACUAGUAGCGCGGGAUUUAAUAAAAGCGCUACUACUAAGUGGUCUUCAUUACACGGGGUAUAAAAUCCCCAUCUCCUCUCCCAAAUCCCUCCUCUCUCAUGUCACUCUCCCCCUCUCUCCGUAGGCUCUCUCACAGGGCUCCUGCCCAUUCGCGCAUCCUCCAUGGUGCUGAAAGAGGAAGCCGCCACGCGUCGCCGGCGUCCAGGACCUCACCGGUCUUCCCCUGCUGGAGCACCUCGCCACCGGCUACCAACCCCGAUGCUCCCUCCAUCUCCUUCCUCUCUACCUCGUUUCUCCUUAUCUAUCUCUCCCUCCGGUUUGACUCACCCUCCUAUGUCCGUGCUCGUGCAGGUCAUCGACAUGGAUGAUCCGGAGCUCUUUACCUUGGUCGAGAAGAGUAGCCCCACAACGCCGCCUUGCUCUGCCCUAGAUCCGGGACCUAUCCAGCAGCCGCCAUCAGAUCUGGUCUAUCGCUGCGAGUCCACCCUUUUCACUGAGCAAGUGAGCAUCCUGUUUAUAUUGAAUUUGUGUUUAUGCACCCUUUUCGCUGCAAACAUAGUGGUACUCAAUGUACCUUACACCCAUAAUGUUGCGAAUAAAAUUGUAUUGCCGGAAUAGUUUCUUAUCCUAUCGUGUAAAUUGCUUACAACGCCUGUUCCAAACAGUCAAUUUGGGGUGUAGUUCGUUUGGCACAAUAAUCCAUCCUGUUCUGUUGGAUUGGUAGGGUACUUCAGUCCAACAAUGCAGUUUCUGCAAGGCAUGGUCAUUCUUUAAAGCAUCCAUAGAACUGGAAGGGCGACUGAAUUCCUUGAAAGAGACAUGAAGUAGGGUGGGUAAUCCAUAAUGCCCAGUUAAGAAUUAAGAGAUGCAUGGAUUACUAAUAUUCCCUCGUUCCUAAAUAUAAGUCUUUUUAAAUAUUUCACUAAAAGACUAUAUACGGAGUAAAAUGAACGGAAGGAGUAGUAUUCAUGAAGCAUUCCAUCUGGAAACAAUGCUUUGGACGAAUGUUUAUGAUAAUCAAGACCUUGAAAGGUAGCACCUUCUUUUGAUGUCAUCCAUUCAAAGCCUGGUCACAAGAAUCUACAAGUGCGCGAUAUAAGAUAUGAUAAACAUAUUCUUCUACUUGUUGUACAGAACAGAAACAAGUGAAUAUGAGCUGAAAAUGGUUAUCCAAAUCAGGAAGCAGACAUGGACGGCAAGGAGCCACUAAUUUGGCCGAGCAGAAUCAGUAAUCAUUAACAUACAUCGAGGUGCUCUAGCUGCUAAUUUUACCCCAAAAUCCAUGGACAGGAUGCACUCCAAGCAUUGAGCCAUGUGAUACGCGUGCAGCAAAGAGGGGAAAGGACAAUCCCGGAACGAGGCCAACCACAAACAGAGGACGGCAGACCUACCACACAUGAGAACGGCAAAGUUUGGAGGUGAAAUCAUAGCAUACCAAUACCAUGCUUGCACGACGGAUCAGGUAAAGAACCGGUACUGGCACUGGUACACACAAUCAUCACAUACUUGAAGGUUCCAAUUCAAUCGCAUCACUCAACAACAAUAGGACGAUAAUCGUCAUCAGCAAAGGAAGAGAAAAAGAAACGAAAAAACCUCAAUUUGUCCUAGUAGCAAAAAUUUGGCGGCGCGUUGGCCGCCAAUCGCCGAAUUAAUAGGGUAGCAGCUCGCUCGCAUCUCCCCGCGAAUCGCACGAAGAGAAAGAAUCCCCCGAGGAACAGGGGGGUUUCAGCGGUGCGCCGUGACGAGCGUCUCGAUGAAGCGCAGGCCGUCGAACCGCGGCGCGAACUUGUCGUCCGUGACGCCGCUCCCCGCGCUCGACGACGGGGGUUCCUGCGGAUAAGCAGCGCGUAAGAAGAGAGCGUCUCAAGAACAAGAAGCCGUCCGCCGUGCCCGUGAUCCCAAAUCGAGGACCGGGGAAAGGGGAUUCUUUGGGGGAGGGAGGGAGGGGAAGGUUGGGGGAGAAGGCGGGCGAGGGAGGAGGCCGUGAUCCGUACCCGCUGGCGGAGGNUGGUGGGGACGAGGCGCGGAGGCUGGAAAUUCCUUGCGUGGGCAGGUCGGGCUGGAAUGGAGGUGGCGGACGGCUAGCCGCGUAUUUUUUUAUAGUCUACACGCUCUACCGGACUUGAGCGCGGAAUUUAACGGGAUUGAAAUGUUGGAGGAGCCGUGUCCUGGCGGGCCGGGCGUGAAACUCGCCGGCGAAUGGGCCCGCCCGAUGGAGGGAGCACGAGAUGCGUUCAGCUGGUCCUUCGCACUGAACAAACGCGCAGCACCGAGUCAGAGACGGAGACCAAACGCUGGUCAGCGAUGAGCCAGGGGCAAAGUCAGACGACGCGGCGUCGCUACGCCGAGGGAGCAAAAUCAUUCUUGUUUUGGCCCUCUUUGAUUUGC
rnacentral:lncRNA from 1 species